rnacentral:rRNA from 1 species
GCGGCGUGCUUAACACAUGCAAGUCGAACGAGAAACCUCGAGCUUGCUCGAGGGAGUAAAGUGGCGCACGGGUGAGUAACACGUGGGUAACCUGCCCCCGAAUCUGGGAUAACCUCGCGAAAGCGUUGCUAAUACCGGAUAUUGUCCUAUCGGUUGUGACCUUUGGGAUGAAAGGCAACCUCUUCAUGAAAGUUGUCGUUCAGGGAUGGGCCCGCGUACCAUUAGCUUGUUGGUGGGGUAACGGCCCACCAAGGCUACGAUGGUUAGCUGGUCUGAGAGGAUGAUCAGCCACACUGGAACUGAAACACGGUCCAGACUCCUACGGGAGGCAGCAGUGAGGAAUUUUGCGCANUGGGGGAAACCCUGACGCAGCAACGCCGCGUGAGUGAAGAAGGCUUUCGGGUCGUAAAGCUCUGUCAAGUGGGAAAAAAGUCUGAUGAUUAAUAGUUGUCAGAUCUGAUGGUACCACUGGAGGAAGCACCGGCUAACUCCGUGCCAGCAGCCGCGGUAAUACGGAGGGUGCAAGCGUUGUUCGGAAUUACUGGGCGUAAAGGGCGUGCAGGCGGGUUGGUAAGUCAGAUGUGAAAGCCCUGGGCUUAACCCAGGAAGUGCAUUUGAAACUGCCAUCCUAGAGUAUGGGAGAGGAGAGUGGAAUUCCCAAUGUAGAGGUGAAAUUCGUAGAUAUUGGGAGGAACACCCG